UCUAAAAGAGUUUGCAAAAAUAUAUUAGUCAUAUUACUUAAGAGUGUUCAUGAGUUCCACUUGUUAUUAAGCGUUUAUUUUAUACUAGAGUUCCCUAUUAUUAUUUUUUAUUAUUUGGGGUUAAAGGAUCGAGUGAUCUUAGUAAGACUUUGAGUAAAGUCUAAGUGUUGAGCGAAAGUGAGGAACAAUGAUCAAAGAGGAUUAUUGUUGGGUACUCGUGUUCAAGUGGAACUCGAGCGUUUGUAUUUUGUAAUGCUUAAUAAAAGAGUUGGAGGUUUUUACUUCUUGAUUAGUGUCAAAAAGUUUCCUCAAGAUAAACUUUCUCUCAUACUUUAUCUAUUUUAGUUUCAAAUUUUUAAUUCCGCAAGAAACUUCACUCCAAGUUUCAUACACAAUUCACCCCCCUCUUAUGCAUGUUCCAAUUAGAAUAUCAAACAACCCAACUGGCAUUAACCUCCGUUAAUGGUUUUCAAAGGCGCUGAGCUUAUUAGCAAGUGUGAUCAUAGGCUGGUCACAUAUAAGACUUUUUUUUGGGUGCGAAUGAGCCACAAGAACGGGCAUGAGAAUCGAUCUCAGGACUACUUGAAACCGGGAUGGAAGCUCUAACCAGGGGAAAGUCAAAGUGGAAGACGUAUCUUUGUUAAAAGAGCUAGCUUAUACAGUCAAAGAUUGUCGUCUUGAUGAGAGAUUAGCGUUUGGAUAUUAUAUUUAUAAUAAAUAAAAGAAUUAUUAUUAAUCAAAAAA